rnacentral:lncRNA from 1 species
CUGAACAUAAGUUUACAAAACAAAACGAUAGAAGCAAAUCCUAUCAAGAUGUCAAAGAUCACCAUUCUCUUAUUCGUUGUCGCAUUAACAUUAUGCAUCGCAGUUCAAUUUAUCUCGGCUGCACCAACCUUGCAAGAGAAUGAAGAAGGACAAUUGGCUGGAUGUGGUCAUCAGGCUGCUCCGUGUAACAAGAAUUCAGACUGCUGCUUCUACUUGAAGUGUGACAAAUACGCAAAAUUGUGCUACCCUUAAAAUGGACAAAUCGAAAUAAAUGUACUUGGUAUAUAGAUUAACCUAAUACGAUUACUAACACAUUAUUAAUAUCGUUUUAUAGAUUUAUUUAAGUUUAU